GACGAACGCUGGCGGCGUGCCUAACACAUGCAAGUCGAACGGAGUUAAGUGCUUCGGUAUUUAACUUAGUGGCGAACGGGUGAGUAACGCGUGAGAAACCUGCCUUUCAGUGGGGGACAACAGUUGGAAACGACUGCUAAUACCACAUGAUACUUUUUGGGGGCAUCCCUAAAAAGUCAAAGCUUUAUGUGCUGAAAGAUGGCCUCGCGUCUGAUUAGCUAGUUGGUGGGGUAACGGCCCACCAAGGCGACGAUCAGUAGGGGUUCUGAGAGGAAGGUCCCCCACAUUGGAACUGAGACACGGUCCAA
rnacentral:rRNA from 1 species